AAAAAAAAAAAGGAACCCGCGGCGGAAACUUCACCCUCUCUCAAAUCGCAAGGUCGCCGUUUCUGCAUCGCGCCGGAACAAGCGUGUACGUGCCGACUAGAGUGUACUAGACAACCGUAUUCUAGCACACACUAGUGCCGACGUCUCAGCCACGCGGAUAAAAUGGCAGUGAACCCUUCUCCUCUAUUUUCUAGUCACAUGUUGACCUUGCACGCUGCGGCAGCAGCGCAGAGGGAAGCAGCGGCGGAGGCGCAGUCGGGCCAACGAAACUGCUCACGCCCCCAAACGCUCGCUUCCCGAUAAUGGCAGAAAACGAAACUUCAGGGAGCGGCUAAAAUAAGCUGGCGCCAGCACGGCGGCGGGCGCGCACGGAGAUGUGCGCACGGAGUCGAAGGUGAGAGAGCUACGAUGGAGUUGAGAGGGAGGGCGAGGGGAGCCACCGAAGCGGCGGAGUUGACGCGGCCAAAUUCGCUUCCAUGCCGCCGCCCUCCUCCCUCACCUUCGACGGUCUCCGCGCGCACCCGUGUGCCGGCGCCGCCCGCUCCCUGAAGCUUCGUUUUCUGCCGUUAUCGGGAAGCGACCGUUAGCCGGCGUGGGCAGUUUCGUGGCCCGCGCUUGCUAUGCGCUUGCGCGCCGCGAUAUUUCACGACUCGCAUCGUUCGUGCAUCGUGCUAUGGUGCACGAAUACUUCAAAAAUACGUCCUUUUAAUUUGAACAAAUUUUCGGGCCCCUUCGAGUUCGAAUUAUCGAGAUUCGACUGUAGUUUUAAUUGUGUUUCGAUGAUACGAAUUUCGGCUAAUACGAAUAUUUUUCGUGACCCCGUGAGAUUCGUAUCAUCGAGCUUUCACUGUAUACUUACACGUUCGAAUUUCCCGCUUUUUCAGCCUCUUAACGUGUGCUGCCGUGCAGCGAUACAGGCGGGAAACACCACCAUUAGUGGGACGCGUUUCCCACCAGCAGCCCCCGCGUCGUCAGCUCACCUGUUCUUCUUACACCGUGGUCUCUGCGUCGCCGCAACCGCUGUGUUUGAUGUACAGUACUACAAUGAUCCAAUGAGCAAAUUAGAAAAGAAUGAGAUUUUGCACAACAAAACGAAAAAGAAACACAAGACAGGUAUAAAUUACUGUUCGAUAAGCUCGUUCUUAACAAAACUUUGUACUUUGUCGAUUCAUCGAGUAAUCAGGUUCGUGCCCUUCCAAGGGCUGAUAGCUCCGAUGCGGCACGCUGACCCAAACAGCAAAGCUCUGGUAGACUUUUAUCAAUCUUGGUAUCAAGCUUCAGGAGCCUAUUCCACAAACAGGACUAUUUUUGUGCUUUCCUUGAAACAUGUUCCACUGAUAUCAUUCUAGGAAUGGAGACAUGGUUAUGUAUUGAUGUGUCAGACAGCGAGCUGUUUAUGUCUAAGAACUUCACAAUAUAUUUAGAAAAGACAGAAUGGUGUCGCAAGGUGGUGGAGUGUUAAUUGCUACAACAAAAAAAUAUGGAUGCACAUGUCAUCGUAACUGACACAUGCCUAGAAAUUUUGUGGGUUGCACUUUGCCCCUCUGCAGCUGCAACUUGUGCUAUUUGGGUCGGUUACUUCCCACCAGAUUCAACCGAAAUCUUUCCAGAGAACCUAAAUGAGUCACUAAAUACCAUGCUGACGCAAUUUCAAAGGUCCCCAAUUUUUUUGGCUAGAGAUUUUAAUUAUCCCAAUAUUGACUGGCAGGCAUGUAAGGCUCUCGCUGCAGGGUGCGUACAGGUCCUUGAAAUCCUUGAAAACCCUUGAAAUUGAAAAGUGCAUUUUCAAGGCCCUUGAGAGUCCUGGAAUUUUUUUGCUUCCUUGAAAAUCCUUGAAUUUCAUGAGCAAUGCACUCUGUUAUCUACAUUGCGACCUCCUUUCUGUGGUAGAUCGGCAUCGAUCUGACAUACUCCCCAUUUCAGAAACAAUACGCCGGCACGAGCACACACGUACCAUUUUGCAGAACUACGGGGAGAAAAUCAAAGGCUUCACUGCAUCAAACUGUGAACGGAGUGAGAGAUGCGUGCCGCGCUUGAGUGCUGGCUCGGCUGGCAGUAUUUACGCUGCUUUCCUCACCCUAUCGUUCAUUUCACUCCUUGCCUGUCGGUCUGCCUUUUCCCACUUUCCCUCUUGCACGUGAGGUGAAGCUAAAGAGAGCUUUAGUGGAGCAACUUUACCACUGAUGCUCAGUGCCUUUGUGCCUUCGGGUGGAGGUUUGUUAUAAUAUUAUUUAUGAUAAUAUAAGUGCAAUAACCUUAUGCUGAAUGUUUUGGAAAUGUUUGAUGAACCAACCCAGCUAAUACUGCAGAAGCCUGAGAGCUGUUGUGAGUGUUUGUUGUCUUAAAUUUAAUACUGCGGACUUGAGAAAUGCUCAAGACAUGUGUUACAAAUUGCAAUAUACUGUACAUCUAUUUCAAUAAUAUAAUGGAUGUGUAGGAAGACUACACUGGAUGGUUUGGAAAUGUUCGGUAAACUUGCCCAGUUAAUACUGGAGAAGUCAGAGUAGCUGUUGGGAGCAUUCUUUGUGUUUUGUAAACUUUUUUUUUCUUCGGCAUUGUUGUGAACUUGCAAAGUGAUCAAGGCUACACAAUACUAACAUCAUUGGGAUAUACAUUUAUUUCUUUUUGUUUUAGUGCUGAAUGUUUUGAAUAUUUUUGGUGCACUUUACCCAGGGCCUAUACUGGAGAAAUCUCAGCCGCUGUUGUAAGCAUUCAUUUUGUGUUGUGAUCUUGAGAAGGUAUCAAGGCUAUACAUUUUAUUAUAAUUGUGAUAUACAUUUAUUUAUUGUAAGUGCAAUAAAACUAGUCAUUUUUGGAAAUGUUAGAGUAAAGAAAUCCUACUUUGGAUGCUGCUUUGAGUCAUUGAAAAUGCUGUGGCAGGUCCUGGAAAGUCCUGGAAUAUCCUUGAAUUUUUGCCUUCAAAACCUGUACGAACCCUGUCGGUGGCACAAGAAAAGAAGUGUAAAAAAUUUAUUGAUGUGCUUUCUUUGUUUGACUUAAGCCAAAUGGUUUCUGUACCCACACGUGGCGAAUCGAUUUUGGAUUUCGUCCUCACUACUGAUGUUUGUCAAUGUGUUAGAAGGCAUUAGCGAUCACAAAAUUCUGCACUGUGAGUUCCAAAUAUUGAGAGAAAAGUCACGUAACACAAAGACAACUAUACUUGACUACAGGCGAGCAGAUAUUAACGCGAUAUCAAGUCUACUCGCUUCCUUUUUUAUUGAUUUCUUAAGCUUUCUUAAUGACCGUGAUGCAAAUGAAAACUGGACGCUUAUCUGUGACAAACUUAUCUCACUAAGAGAAAAGUACAUACCUCAAAUCAGUAUAGCCGCAUCAACACAAAGCACAUGGUUCACGACUCACGUAAAACGUUGCAUAAAUAAAAAGAAAUGAUUAUACUCGCGAGCAGUUCAGAACUGAUGGCGUCUGAGGAUGAUUGAUUGGAAGCGUUACCGUGAACAUGCGCAGUUAUGUAAAGGUAAAAUCGAAGCAGCAAAAGACAAAUUUUAAAACAACAAUAUCUGAAACAUGAUAAAAACAAUAGCAAAAAGUUUUGGAAAGUUGCCAAUCCAAAUUGUGGUUCGAAAUCCCAAAUAUCAAUAGCCAAAGACGGAAAACUCCUUUCCUCAUCAGAAGCCGCAUUAGAAUUCAGUAAUUUCUUUAGCUCUGUCUUUACUGAUGAAAUUCCAUUGUCAUCUACUCUACAUGUUAUUUUAACUUCUCAUAUGCAAGAUAUAUAUAUCACUCCCAAAGGCAUCACAACAGCCAUUGAUCGCCUUACUGUGAAUUCUGCACCAUUGGGCCUGACGACAUAUGCCCUAAGCUACUUAAGAUAGUGUUGUGUCGUUAGUUUUGGUUUCGGUAUCCCGUCAGGAAACCCUGUGAACGUCUGUGGUGCUGUUGUUCCUGUGUAUAUAAUUGGGUGUCAAAAUAAAUGGAGAUAAUUCGUUGGGUUAUGGCUGGUUGGCUUUCCUCUUCGUAGGCCGCGACACCACAUUGGCAACGAGGGUUCUAGAUUGUUCUAAUUUUUUUUCUGAGGGCGUUGCCCCGCUGGCCACGUCACGAGUUUCUCCGGCCUCGCUCCACCGCCACCGUUUCUGCCUGCGCAGGGCCGCCCGUUGGUUCUGUGGCUGCAAUGGUUUCACAUUUUGGGGACCUUUCUUUUGGCAUCCGGAGCAGCUGACUUCCCGUCCAAACGACGCAGAGACCUUCUGUUACACAGCCUGGGAAUUGAAGUUGAGUUUAUUUUCUUCGCUCUGGGGCCAUCCCACGUCUCCGAAGCCGCCCCGCCGGCUUCCACCGCGAACGAUUGCGAUGAGGCCAAAAAGUCGCCCACUGCCGCAUCAUCAUACGACCAAGCCAUCGCUGCGUUAAUGCAGCAUUUUGCCUCGGCAAGCAAUGUCGUCAUGGAACGCCAUCGCUUCCGCCGCCAUACCCAGCAACCAGGCGAGUCCAUACAAGAGUACGUCAGCGCUUUACGAGAGCUUGCUGCUUCGUGUUCUUUCGUCGCCCUUGACGACUCCCUCCGCAACCAGUUCUCGGAAGCCAUGACGUCACAACACGAUCGUGAACGACAGAAGGUUCGUCACUCCCCUUUUCGCGCGCCGUGCUUCUGGCACAGAAACUGGCUGCUCAGCAAGUUCGCGAGCUUGCUCCAGGUAACUUCAUGAGGUGUUCAGGGGAUACAGUGUCUCCCCGUCGGCCUGCUUACCCUGAGCACUCCCGCGACUCGAAUAAGGCAUCACCGCACUGUUUUUGUUGCGUUUCCCGCCAACACCGCGCCUCGUCAUCCUCCUGUCCAGCACAAGGUCAGCGCUGCUUUCACUGCAGUCGCCUUCGGCACUUCCACUCAGUCUGUAACAAGCGACAGCGUCAUUCUACUGUUGCCGUCCAUUAAGUUGACUGCUAUAACUCGUCCGAUGAUGCUGAAAGUUUAUGCGUUCUUACCAUGGUCAGUCCUGCUCGAGCCGGCAUUUUCGUUGACGUUUUCAUCACCAGCAAGUCCUUGAGGUUUCUUGUCGACUCUUGGUCAUCUGUUUGGUCGACUCUUGGUCGUCUGCUGGAAAAGAGAACCUUUUUCAGCAGUAUUUUGUUGACGAGUCACUUCUUUCUACUCCACGAGUGAAGCUUCUCGAUUACUCAAAGCGUUCCAUUCCCUUACGUGGUUGCUUGUUCGUGGAAGUCACGUUCAAGAGACGCACGGCGUACCUCCUGUUCUACGUUGUGCCGAAAGGCACAUCUAUCCUCGGAAUUGAUGUGAUCAAGGCUUAGGACUUGAACAUUGAAGGGUCGUCUCUGCAUUGCUUCGAGAGAUCGGCCAUGCCAGCGACAUCCGAUGCGGCUUAGCUCUCAGGCCCGCACCAAGUUUUACCACCCAACCAUCUUCUGAAGACCCUGUCUAGCAAAUUCGGCUCCAUCUUCGCCCCAGGCCUUGGUCUCGUUAAGGGUUUCGUCUAUCGGAUCGACUUGCAGUGCCUCCUGUGGCAUCGAAACUUCGGCGCCUCCCGCUGACACUCUGACCUCAAGUUUCAGAAGAGCUCUGUCGGUUGGAAGAACUGGAUGUCAUCGAGCGCAUUAAUGCCUCCGAAUGGGUGUCCCCCAUCGUUGUGGUAAAGAAAAAGGACGGUGGCAUUCGACUCUGUGUUGACCUCAGGGGACCUAUCAAAGCAGUCAUCGCCGACAGCUGGAGAAGGAAGGUGUCAUCCGUCGACAAGCCCACGCCAUGAUGGGCAGCCCUGGUAGUGGUCCCAAAAGCAACGGUAGGAUACCGCCUAUGUGUCGACCUGACCAAGCUCAACAAGGUGGUCGUGUGGGAGAAGCACCACAUGCCUACCGUUGACCAGGUGCUCUGACUGCUGGGGUCUGCAACAGUCUUCUCCAAGCGAGAUGUCAGGGCAGGGUUUCAUCAAGUACCUCCGAUAGCUCGCAAGAAUACACACUCAUUAGCCCCCUUUGGUCACCAUUGUUACUGCCGUUUGCCCCUUUUGGAAUCGCAUUGGCGCGAAAGGCUUUCAAGUGCUGAAUGUCAAGAAUUCUGGAAGGUCUCGAAGGCUGUGUGAAUAUGGUGGAUGACAUUCUUGUGUUUGGCAGGGAUUGCUUCAAGCACGACAGCUGUCUUCAAACCGUCCUCCAGAGAUAGCAGGAGGCCAGAGUUACCUUGAAUGCCUCGAAGUGUUACUUUGGCAUACCUCACUCAAGUUCCUCAGCAGCUCCAGUGGCAUUGCACCUGAUCCAGACAAGGUCACUGCUAUCACAAGCAUGCAGCCACUAAUAGACUUGGCAGGUGCAAGGCAUUUCUUGGGAAUGCUCAACUACGUUGGACUCUUUCUGCAAAAUUUGUCUGCUGCCACAGCACCUCUCAGACUGCUUUUGAACCAAGACACUGUCUGGACAUGGGAUACUUCUCAAGCAACGCCCUUCAACUACUUCAAGAGAAUGGUUGCCUGAAGCUCAUGCAUGGCUCGGUACAACCCAGAAUUUCCAGCACAGUGUGUACCGAUGACAGCUUCCAUGUACUGGGCUUGUUCCUUCAGGAUCAGCUAAUUGGUGAAAGUCGAGCAGUAGCCUUCGCAUCAUGAGCCUUGACUUCUGCUGAACAACGGUACAGCCAAAUUGAAAAGAAGGCAUUGCCCGUCUCAUGUGCAGUCGAGAGGUACAUUGAGUUCUUGCGGGGCUUCAGCCUUGUUGUAUAAACCAGCCAAUUGUCGAGUUGCUGGAAUCAGCGGACCUGGACCUCAAUGCCCCCUCAAGUGCAGCGGUUUCGCGUCAGGCUCUUGCGCUACCAGUUCAUGGGGUCAAGUAUGUCCCAGGCAGACUCCUAGCCAUUACCGACACUCUGUCAAUAGAUCCUGAACGAUCUAUCUCUCCGUCCUCUGGGGAUAGCAUCGAGCCCUUUGUGUUGCAAGUUCCGAAGGCUCUUCCUUCAACUUUGGCGGUGCGCUUUAAUGUUUUCAGAGCUCAUCGGGAAUUGGAUGGGGUAAAGAACUUUUGCUCCAAAGGUUGGUCUAGAUGUGACCGGUUACCAUUAAACAUGACUUGCUACAGUAUAGACCACUUAUAACGUAACCGCUUAUAGUGCAGGACCGGAUAUAGUGCAGUCUUUUCAGACUCCCGUUAAUGUUCCCAUAGCACUCUAUGUAUGCACGUAUCGCUUAUAGUGCAGUUGCGGGAAACGAAAUACCGGUUACAGUGCGGCUGCCUGGGAGUACGGAAGUCAGCGGAGACGGCGAACGCUCCCCUCAAACGGGCGCCCCACGGAGUGCUCGAGGAAGAAAGACAGACGAAGCGGAGGAGAAGGGCACGUGGUGCGAACGAACAGCCAUUGAGGCUGAAACCGUCUUGAGUGCGAGUCGUGAAAUAUCAUAGUGCGCAUAGCGAGCGAGGGCCACAAAACUGCCAAGGCCCGCCAACGCUUGCUUCCCGAUAACGGCAGUAAACGAAACUUCAGGGAGCGGGCGGCGCCGGCACAGCACAGGGAAGGGCGCACGCAGAGACCGUGGAAUGUGAGGGAGGAGGGCGGCAGGGAAGUGGAUUUCGCCUCGUCAACUCCGCCGCUUCGGUGGCUCCCCUUGCCCUCCCUUGUACCUCCCUCACUUUCGACUGUCACCAUGCGCGCCCGCCUCCGUGCAGGCGCCGCCGCUACAGCCUGCCCGGCGCCAGCUCCCCGAAGUUUCGUUUUCUGCCGUUAUCGGGAAGCGGGCGUUGGCCGGCCUGGGACAGCACCGCUGCUUCCCUCUGCGCCGUAGCCGCAGCAUGCAAGGUCAGCACGUGACUAGAAAGUAGAGGAAGCAUGAAGGAGAAAGAAGGGUUCACUGCCAUUUUCUACGCGUGGCUACGAUAGCGUGGCUGAGACGUCGGUACGUACACGCAUGUUCCGGCGCAACGCAGAAUCGGCGACCUUGCCAUUUGAGAGAGGGUGAAAUUUCCGCCGUGCUUUUUUUUGCUUUCUUUCUUUCUUUUUUUGUUUUGUUCGCGCGCGACAUUGAGGGGUCUCUCCUAAGCUUUUACUCUAUGGCGGUGCCGGCGCAAUGCCGGUCGGAGGCGCCGCCGCGUGAUUUGGUUCGAAUUAACGAGAUUCGACUGUAAAUUGAAUGCAAACGGUCUAGCCGCAUUCCUCGACUGUCGCAUACGCGUGGCGGCUCGGUGCACAUGUUUUGCAUAUGUGUGGGCCUUGAAAAUUGUUACUUUGGUUAUAGUGCGGAUAUUCGCGACUCUGGGGACUUACACUAUAAGGGGUCUACACUGUAUUGGGAACACCGGGGCAAGUUCUUCAUCUGCGAUUGUCUUCUACUCAUGGGAGAACACCUUGUGGCUCUGCUGCGCCAAGACAUGGUGAAUCUGCUCCAUGUAGGUCAUCUAGGCAAUAACCGGUGUUCGGCAUUGGCCAGAGAGUCUGUGUGGUGGGCUGGUCUCGGCAGCCAAAUGAAAACUUGAGUGGCAAACUGUGGUGUGUGCUACUACAAGGAUCCAAUGUGUUAAACCGAUGAUGCCGACAGAAACUCCUGCUGUACUUCGAAGCGAGCGGCCGCAUGCCUGUUUCAUUUCGACGGCCAAGAGUUCCUGCUACUAGUGCUUGACUGCCGUUCUCGUUACCCGGAAGUCAUCACCCUCCGGUCCACGUCUGCCAAAGCCAUAAUGUCUUUGCCAGACACGGCAUUCCCGAUACUACUCGUAGUGACAACGAUCUUCCUGCAAAGCCUUUCAAGGCUUUGCCAAGAGCUUUGGGCUAUGCUACAAACAGUCCUCGCUGUCCCCUGUCGAAUGGUGAAGUAGAGCGAAUGGUCUGCAGAAUCAAGGACUUGCUCUGGAAAACCAAAGACCUGUUUCUGUCCUUGCUGGCUUACCGAAACGUCCCUGGAAAGUCUGGCUACAGUCUUGCUCAACUUCUCAUGGGUCACUCACUUCAAACCCGUGUUCCAGUUCCCUGGACAAAGUUAGCUCCAGACUGGCUGCACAUUGCAAACUUCAAAGUCAGGGACACCGCGAAAAUGCAUUAUCAGUCACUGGAUUUCAACAGAUGCCACGCUGCUUAUGAUCUUCGCACCCUUGAAAAAAGUGUGGUUUCUAGAUGCCAGGACAAGAGCCACUGACAGUCCAGUAGCUUCAGUCCAGCUCAGAGGCGACGCUCAUAAGUCGUGAAGACGCCUGUGGGAGUUCUGGUGAGAAAUUCCCCCCGUGCACCAGCAACAGACGUCAGCUGGACCGGCCAGUGCGAACGCCAAUGACAGCCCAGCACCUCAGACUGGGCAGUAGUCGCACGACUGUGAUGACAGUGGCAACCCACCAGCUAGACCAGGUGCCUUCGGGGUCAAAGAGGGCACCAGCUAGACCAGGUGCCCUCAUUUUCAAAGUGAUCUGCUAUGUGGGCAAAGUUUGCGAUCGCGCGGGCCUCAUCUUUAAAGCGAUCUGAGAUGUGGGCAAAGUACACGUCUGCGCGGGCCUCAUCUUCAAAGCGAUCUGCGAUGUGGGCAAGGUAUAGGCAUGCGCCCGUAGGGGCCUCGUCUUUGAAGCGAUCUGCGAUGUGGGCAAAGUACAAGCACGCGCCCGUAGGGGCCUUGUCUUCAAAACGAUCUGCGAUGUGGGCAAAUUCAAGCACGCGCCCGUAGGGGCCUUGUCUUCAAAACGAUCUGCGAUGUGGGCAAAGUACAGGCACGUGCCCCUAGGGGCCUCGUCUUUAAAGCGAUCUGCGAUGUGGGCAAAGUACAAGCACGCGCCCGUAGGGGCCUUGUCUUCAAAACGAUCUGCGAUGUGGGCAAAGUACAGGCACGUGCCCGUAGGGGCCUCGUCCUUAAAGCGAUCUGCGAUGUGGGCAAAGUACAAGCACGCGCCCGUAGGGGCCUUGUCUUCAAAACGAUCUGCGAUGUGGGCAAAGUACAGGCACGUGCCCGUAGGGGCCUCGUCCUUAAAGCGAUCUGCAAUGUGGGCAAAGUACAAGCACGCGCCCGUAGGGGCCUUGUCUUCAAAACGAUCUGCGAUGUGGGCAAAGUACAGGCACGUUCCCGUAGGGGCCUCGUCCUUAAAGCGAUCUGCGAUGUGGGCAAAGUACAAGCACGCGCCCGUAGGGGCCUUGUCUUCAAAACGAUCUGCGAUGUGGGCAAAGUACAGGCACGUGCCCGUAGGGGCCUCGUCCUUAAAGCGAUCUGCAAUGUGGGCAAAGUACAAGCACGCGCCCGUAGGGGCCUUAUCUUCAAAACGAUCUGCGAUGUGGGCAAAGUACAGGCACGUGCCCCUAGGGGCCUCGUCUUUAAAGCGAUCUGCGAUGUGGGCAAAGUACAAGCACGCGCCCGUAGGGGCCUUGUCUUCAAAACGAUCUGCGAUGUGGGCAAAGUACAGGCACGUGCCCGUAGGGGCCUCGUCCUUAAAGCGAUCUGCAAUGUGGGCAAAGUACAGGCACGCCGCGUGCCCAUAGGGGCCUCGUCUUCAAAACGAUCUGCGAUGUGGGCAAAAUAUGUGCCCGUGCGGGUCUCAUCUUCAAAGCGAUCUGCAAUGUGGGCAAAGUGCGCGCAGUGCCAGUAGCUGCGUAUGCGCUGUGCUUUCGACAUUUAGCUCGCGUUGAAGCGAGGCAGCAUGAAGGUCAAUUGGCUCGCUGCUGCUGCCGCGCUUCCUCACUCCAGCGUUUCUACAGCAACUUUCUGCAGUGAUCGACCGAGAUGUGUUCCUGUUUACCUGUGCCCACGUGACACCGUGCUUGUUAAUUUAGUUAGUAAGAGUAUGUUUACUACUUUAUACAGCCGAUAAAACUGCUAUCCUUACUUCGUAUAGCUGUCUACUAAUUUGCGAUCGCAAUCGAUGCUUUGCCUUUCAGGCGAAACUGCAGCUUUUUGUUUCUUUUUUUACUUUGGACGUUCGUCACUCACUCUUUGCAAUAACGUUGUUAGACAUAGCGACCAAAUUUUCAGAAGUGAGGUGUUUCAGAUAUUACGGACUUCGGAUAAAACGGACAUUUUUGGUUGGUUUAUCGGGGUCUGUUGUAACGAGAGUCGACUGUACCUGUUUCGGACAGUUAGUUAAAACACCCCUCAGACUGGACUUGUGACAUGUUGUUCAAUAUGUACGGAUUAUGUUUUCUUUCUCUUGACCAGGCGUUCUUGUUUAGAUUGUUUUGCUGUGCAAACCAAUAUGGUGGUUCUCUUCUCUGUCCUUUUUUCCUACAUUUGGCACGCUACCCAAUACCGCCGUUAUCAAUAUGGUGGGCUUUGCAUUGUUACAAACACAUGGUGCUGAAAAGGGGGAUGUAGAGGAUGUGAAAGACAUGCCCCAAGUGACUAGAUGGUGGCACACUCCAAAUGUAUAUAUUGCAUGGUGAAAAUAAAGUCGGGGUUCUUCGAGUCGCAGUAACA